UACGGGGGGGGCAAGCGUUGUCCGGAAUUACUGGGCGUAAAGGGCUCGUAGGUGGCCAACUAAGUCAGACGUGAAAUCCCUCAGCUUAACUGGGGAACUGCGUCUGAUACUGGAUGGCUUGAGUUUGGGAGAGGGAUGCGGAAUUCCAGGUGUAGCGGUGAAAUGCGUAGAUAUCUGGAGGAACACCGGUGGCGAAGGCGGCAUCCUGGACCAACACUGACACUGAUGAGCGAAAGCCAGGGGAGCAAACGGG
rnacentral:rRNA from 1 species